CGCUCUUCUUCAGAAGUGGAUGUUUAGAUAAAACUGCGUUGAAAAUCGAGGGCAGGAAACCACAAAGGAAACUUUCUAUUGAAAUGUUUACGUGCUCCCUGAGUGUUAAGCGGAGGGUUUCCUGAACGCUAUCUGUGAACUGAUGACUUAGAGAUUCUGCGCAUAGAGCCGUGAGGGGUUUCGCUGCGGGGACAGAUAUGAAAUGAAUAUGCCAUUCAUACGUCUUUCUUACGUUAUCACUCCAAAUGUGCUCUCUUAAGAAACAGCAGAGAAUAGCGAGAGAAACAUAUUCAAGUUAAGGAACAAUACUGUGCUUCGAGGUUGUAUUUAUCCCCCUUGCAAUCUUCCUCCUUCAUGUUUUAAACAAACCUCCUCAACAUCAAUUUACAGCCACUUACCCCCCACAUAAGUGGCUCCUCUUCUUCACCCUGUACACCUCAGACUUCAGCUACAACUCUGGGAGCUGUCACCUCCAGAAGUUCUCUGAUGACACAGCCAUCGUCGGAUGUGUAUCGUCAAGGGACGAGCGGGAAUACAGGACUGUCAUCACUGACUUUGUCAACUGGUGUGGCACAAACCACCUCCAGCUCAACGCCAGUAAGACAAAGGAGAUGGUUGUGGAUUUCCGCAGGAGGGGGACACCUCAAACAGUUCCAGUGAACAUCCAGGGUCUGGACAUCGAGAUGGUGGAGUCCUACAGAUUCCUGGGUGUCCACCUCAACAAUAAACUGGACUGGUCAACAAACACAGACGUUCUGUACAAGAAGGGCCAAAGUCGUCUCCACCUGCUGAGGAGACUGAGGUCCUUUGGAGUGUGCAGGACUCUGCUCAGGACUUUCUAUGACUCUGUGGUAGCAUCUGCACUUUUCUAUGCAGUGGUCUGCUGGGGGGCAGGGAGCACCGAGAGGGACAGGAAGAGACUGAAUAGACUGGUCAGGAGGGCCGGUUCUGUCCUGGACUGCUCUUUGGACUCCCUGGAGGAGGUGGGUGAGAGGAGGAUGUUAACAAAGCUUGUAUCCAUCAUGGACAAUCCCUCUCACCCACUGCACCAGACUGUGGGGGCUUUAGGCAGCUCCUUCAGCAGCAGACUGAGACUCCCACCCUGCAGGACGGAGCGCUACCGCAGAUCAUUCCUCCCCUCUGCAAUAAGACUUUACAAUGAACAGUAACAAAACUGGAUUUACACCACCACUUUUUUUAUGGCAUUUAAAUUGUGUAUAUUGCAGAAAGCUUUAUUUUUUUCUUCUCCCUUUUCUCUUUUCAAUUUUUUUUUUUUUUCUUAAUUAUUACAUUUAUUAAGUUCUUAAUAUUAGGACCCUUAUUGUUAUAACUUCAUUUUGCACUUUCUGUCUUGUCUGUGAUGCUGCUGUGACAAAAAAAUUUCCCCCAUGGGGGAUCAAUAAAGGAAUAUUCUAUUCUAUUCUAUAAACUCUUACAGACACUGGACCAAACUGAGCCCUGUAAACCACAUUUAAGUGAUAAAAUAAACACGUCUUGGUGCAUCAAGCUGAUUUACAAGACAAAAAGACUUCUUCAAGUAGGGACAAAAGUUUUGUCACAUGGCCUCAUUAACACCGAGGGUCCAAUCAACCAAGACAGGAAGAGACCUACAUGAAAACCCAUUAUGGAUACUAGGCUUAUCAUUUAACAUGAUUGACAUUUUGACAUUAGCUUUGUUUCUACUCUAAUCAGUCACAACCAUUUUUAGAUAUAAUUAUGAUUCUUAGCCAACCUGGACCACUUUAGUACGACAGUAUAGCAGAAUCUGAGUUUCUUAUCUUGAGCCUACAACUGUAAAUGCCUCUACUUUAACUCAUAAUGCCCAAGACUAAUGGACAAAUUCACUUUUUAACUAAUAAUAUGACAAAGUUUGAAAGUUUAAUAGCUGUAUUGCUAACAAUGCAAAUCUAUAUGUGAGUUAGCAUGAACUGAACCCCCCGCUAUAAGUUAAGUUUAUGAGAUACGACUGAGUUUAACUGUUUCAAGGUAAUAUGAAAGUGAGUUAUGGUUUGCAUUUUCCACUACAAGAUUUACAGAAACUGAUUUAUUUGGUUGUUAAAGUGAUCAGAAAACUAUCGAAAUGAAGGAUAAAAUCAGCAAAGAGCUUAGAGAUACCACUUUUUUCCACAGGGGGCGCCAAAGUCAUCGCAAAGCAAAUGUUUUUGGGGGAACUACAAACAAAUAUUUCUCUAUUCCUGCCUCAAAUAGCUUUUUUCAUCAUAGACUGUAUACACUAUGGACAACUUGGCUCCGCCUUUCGGCAUUAUACGAAUUUGAAGCCGAAUUGCUCUCUGUAUUUCUGGGAUUUUCUCCACUUCUUGGAACCACCACUUGCGGGAGAGUUGCCGAGAGUAUAGUUAGAGUUGGCUAGUGCUGGGCUCCGAUUGGUUGUUCCCAAUGGCUGUGAAACGUCAUCGUCUGUCGAGUUAGGGUUAGGUUUAGGAUGAGGGUUCGGAGACUCAGAAGUGCGAUAAUGUUCUGUAAUGUUCUGUUCGAUGUGCGGAGCCAACAGCCCGUGUUUGGCUUGAGCGUGCGAUGACGUUUCCAGCUUUUCUAGCCAAUCAGAGGCGAAGGGGGCAGGACUUUCUCCUACCAUCCUACAAAAAAAAAAUAUCACAACCCCCCAGGUGAGCUACGCCAUCUUCGUACGCCCAUAGGCUGUAUUAAGUGUCAAUCAUAGAAAACAUGAACCCCCU